rnacentral:lncRNA from 1 species
UGGAUUUGUAUAAUCAACAAUAGAGCUUCUCAUGUGCUUGCAAAUUAGGAUUUUACUUAAAUAGGAACUUAUUUUCCUUAUUAAAAUCUCCUUUCUAAAGUUAAAAAUAUUAUCUUAGUAUAGUUUUCUUUUAAUCUAUCGUUCCAACGUAGGUGCAAGAUGCUAUUUGUAAAGUUUUGUCUGAAAUGAAAAGUUUAAUCUAGCACAUAAAAAGGGGGAAAAAAAACAGGUGUCUCCCUUGCAUCAAGGCAUGUAACCGUUAAAGCCAACACACUCCUUUUCGUCCUUAAUUCUCACGCAAAUGUCCACCGCCGACUUCUCUCAGAUCUCUCUUUGAAACGCCAUCCAUUGUCCAUCUUGUAAUCGAGCUCUUGGUCCCUGAAAAACCCGGAGAUGGCAAUAGCAAAGCACAAUCAGUUGAAGAGGGUAGUGUCCGACGACAGACUAGUGAGAAAGCUCCUGAUGCAUCUCCCACAGGAGUGUCGAUUUUAUGUUCGUAGCAAGUCAAGUAUAUACUAUCAAAUAAGUCCCAACCUGUAUACUAGUGUAUACAACCUACUCAAUAAUCCUCAAACCGAACGAUGGAUCGGCAUAAUCUCAGAGCAGCUAAUUGCAGGUCUGUUCAACUUCAAGUCCGUUGGGACGACCCGCUCCUUGGGAGGCAGUAAUUUGGCCAUUCAUUAGUGAAGCCUUGUGGAGUCGGCGUCUGACCCACGAAGAGCCGCAAUGGAACCCCAAUCAGGACUGUGUUUAGACGAAAACCAUUUUUUGCUAAACACUAAAUAAUUGAUUUUAAUUGAUUGAAUUCAUGCUCCUGGACUUUAUUCCUUUUACGAAAAAUGAAUAAUUUGAAAAGUAUUUUUGUUAAAUCAUCCAUUUCUCGCAUCUCUAAAAAAUUCGUCCCAUCUCAAAGACCCGAUUACAAGUCGGUUCGGAGCGUCCACGACCCGAUUUAACCAACCCAGGCCGCAUCCCCAAAUAAUUCUCUCUCGAAUCGGAGGGUCCCCGACUGAGAAUCUCCAGAACUGAGCCGAGCGUUCGCAUUUUAAUGGAAGCAUCUUCCACGAGACGAAGAGCAAACGAAUUGCAGACAUCCAAUCGCAGCGAUAAACCACGACACAUCGAAAAAUACAAGAAAGAACGAAGAAGAAGAAGAAGAAGAAGGAACUCUCAGAUUAGCAUUUUGGCACAUUCCUCAUGACGACCCACAACCCAUGUCGGGAUUCGAUAAAAAUCGAACCCCGCACGGUGCGCAUUAUUCGUUGCGGGUCGCUCUUGCCGAAAUCUCUCUCGUCAUCGAGUCCCCGAAUCAACAAGCACGAAAGUCACGAAGAGUAAAAUGAAAGGAAAGGAAAGAAAAGAAAAGAUUGACGGACCCCCGGGAUUUCCUUGAUCCUUAGUAACUCCACCGGAAGAUCCAAUUGAUUUUGUGAAUGGACGGAAAACGCGCAGAUCAGACGAUGAACCUUUGCGUCGACGACCGG